GCACUCGGUAAUGUAGUGAUAGAGCACGCGUUCCGAAAUAGGAUGAAAUGCGGGUUCGAUUCCCGCCUGAGGCC